GCCAGCAGCUGGAGGGAGGGGACCCUUCCCAUCUGCUCAGCGAUGGCAAGGCCCCGUGCCUGCCGUGCUGUGCCCAGCUCUGGGCUCCCCAGUACGAGAGAGCCAUGGUCUUAGUGGGGAGAGCCCCCCAGUGCCCCUCCCCCACCACGACCCCCCUGGCCAUUCUUGGCAUCACAAUGUUGGACCCAGCGCUGGCCCGGCAACCUCCCCAGGGCCCUGCAGGGACAGUGCUGUGCCAGCACCGAGCGAGCGGCACUGGCAGAGCCCAGCUCUUGCCCAGCGUCCUUCUGAGAGUGCUUUUUGGCACCGCGACCCCCCUUUGCAGCCUUGCGUGGGCCAGCUGGGCACUGUCCUCAGCCCCACAGCUGUGUCCCGCGUGAGGCUUCCCCUCAUCCCGGUGAGAUGGGACAGGUCAACUGCUGCCAGGGCUCCAGGUGAGCUCCCCCCAUGGCUCGGGGACACGCCGGCACAGCCGGUCCCCGUGGCAGCCCCCUUGCUCAUGCCCGACGCCCUCUGCUCCCCAGGGACGACCCUGAGCCCCUGCAGCAGAGCCUGCCCGUGGCAGCACCACCCGAGCCGCUGCAACGGCAGCGCGUGAAGGUGACCCAGGGCCGGCGGAGCAGGAAGAGGGAGCUGCUCCUCUUCAGGGACACCUUGGUCAUCGCCAAGGCCAACCGUGGCAGCGCCCCACGCCCGCAGCUCUGCCUGGCCCUGGCCAUGCUGCAGGUGUUCUGCAGCGGGAAGGGGGCAGCUGGCGAUGCCACCACGGAGGAGAAGGGCAAGGACGGCAAGUCCCUCGUCCUCCUCUGGCCCUGCGGCUCCUGCGUAGUCACCUUCUGGUGAGUCUCGGUGCCUCGUCCCCACGGCAGGGCUGGGUGGUGCCUCUGUGGCCGUCCCCAGGGGGCUCUGUCCUGCCUCUGUGGCCGUCCCCACGGGGCAGGGCUGUGCCGCAGCGGGCACUCAGGCUGUUUCCCCUCUCUGUCUGCAGCUCCCGGGUGGUGAAGGAGCUCUGGCUCAGCGCCCUCCUUGGGUAAGCCCUGCCCGGCCGUGCAGCCUGGGCAACCCCUGCUCACAGCACUGGGGGGAU
rnacentral:lncRNA from 1 species